rnacentral:rRNA from 1 species
UACGUAGGUCGCAAGCGUUGUCCGGAUUUACUGGGCGUAAAGAGCGCGCAGGCGGCUGGUCAAGUCCGAUGUGAAAUCUCCCGGCUCAACUGGGAAACUGCAUCGGAAACUGAUCGGCUUGAAGAUGGGAGAGGGUAGUGGAAUUCCCGGUGUAGUGGUGAAAUGCGUAGAUAUCGGGAGGAACACCGGUGGCGAAGGCGGCCAACUGGACGAAGACUGACGCUGAGACACGAAAGCGUGGGGAGCAAACAGG